GCUGGGGGUGGCGGGGUAUGGAAAUUACCAGAAGUGGGCAGCUGUGGAGGUGUCUUCUGGAGAGGAGAAGAGAUAUACAUGCCAUGUGCAGCAUGAGGGGCUGAUAGCACCCCGAGUCCUGAGAUGGGGUAAGGAGGGGGAUAUGGGCACACGGCUGACUCAGGGGCAUCAGAAGCCCUUCUGGAGACCUUCAGAGGAUCACACUGAGGCCUCAGGUUCAGGGUCUGACCUUCUCUUCCAUUCCAGUUCCCCCUCCUCAGUUCUCCAUCCUUGCUGUCGUCCUCAUUUCCAGCUUGGUUCUCUUUGGAGGUGUGCUCACUGGACACAAGGUGGCUUCAUGUGAGGGGCUAGAAGAAGUGCUCAGGAGGACAAGGAGGAAGCUACACUCAGGCUGCAACAGCCACAGUCCCAGUGCUCUGAAAUGUAUCUCAGCCCCUAAAAGAGUCGCCCUCUCUGCAGUGUCUCUACUCAGCAGUUUCUCAGCAGCCCCAGGAGUCCCUGCACCUCCUGCCUCUGACCUUAUGGGAAACCAGCCUCUCAGCCUGCAUGACAGUGAGGAGGCGAAGGCAAAGUCCUGAGGGGCAGGACCAAUCUGCUAUCCAUUGAAAAGAGAGGUUCCAGGUUACCGCCCCGCCCAAGGAAAGGUGGAUCUGAGCAGUGAUGAGAAGCUAAGGAAGAGGAGGAAGAUGUGGAGUAAGAUGAGGAAAGGAGACUGGAGGGGGAGCAUGGAGCAAAGAGACAUGUUAAGAAGAAACCACACUUGCUUCUCACUUGGACUUGUGCCAGGGAGUUGGGGACAUGGAAAGAAACAUGUGAAAGAGACAAAAAUGUGAAUGAGAGACCCAUCAGGAGGCUGACAAUGGCAGCUGUUAUCUUGAUGUGGAUUUUGAUUUUGUUCUUGUCCUUCCAGACUCACCUGGCCCUUCCUGCCCCUUUCCCAUGGGUCUCUACCAGUAGGUGCCUCAGCCUUGUGGCAGGCGUUCAGGCCCCAAUGGGCCUGCUUUGGGCCAAGCCUGUUUGGCUGGGCAUUUACCCAUGAGGGGGAUGGGUAACUUUGAGUGCUUCACUUGGGAACUAUUCUAACUAUAUUCUUUCUCUUCUCUCUCUCUAUUGCACACUGAUUUUUUAUUUUAUACUAAUUGUAUUAAAGUGCUUUUCUAUUG